rnacentral:lncRNA from 1 species
GAUUGCAACUGAAAUCUGCAGGAAGGUAGCUCUCCAGGGACAGGAGACUCCACUACCAGACUCGCCAGGAUCUCCUCCUCAGACAUCUGGUCAAUAAUAUGGGAAUCAUAGGCCACAGCGAUAGACACUUCUUCCAUCAUUUUGGCAGGUCACUGCUCACACAAAACACUGUGGUUUGCCCUGGAAAAGAAGGUGCCAGUACAUUCCUGCACUCCUUAAGCUGCUUAUAUCUGACUGUGCUAUAUGUUCAGCGGGAUUGACGGUGAAAAAAAACUGCUUUUAUCAUCUCACCGCAGCUACAGGGAGGGAUAUGGAGGGAAAAACACACUUAAAGGAGACAGAAGCAUUUGCAGUCAGCUACAAGAUACAGAAACGGAUACACUUGACUUGACAGGAAACAUUUCAAGCAUUGAAAUAAUUUGAUCUUUAUAUACAGAUAUUCGUAUAGAUGUGAAAUGGCUUUUAUUACUCUGAUCACAAUUGACCAAUUUUAUAAAAGUCUACAGGCAUUUA